rnacentral:rRNA from 1 species
AGAGUUUGAUCCUGGCUCAGGACGAACGCUGACGGUGUGCUUUAGACAUGCAAGUCGAACGCGAAAGCCCUUCGGGGUGAGUAGAGUGGCGAACGGGUGAGUAACACGUGGGUAACCUACCCCUCGCAGGGGGAUAACCGGGGGAAACCCCGGCUAAUACCCCGUACGCUUGCUGGGUCGCAUGGCCCGGCAAGGAAACGGUAGCUUCGGCCAUCCGGCGAGGGAUGGGCCCGCGGUGCAUUAGCUAGUUGGUGGGGUAACGGCCCACCAAGGCGACGAUGCAUAGCUGGUCUGAGAGGAUGAUCAGCCACACUGGGACUGAGACACGGCCCAGACUCCUACGGGAGGCAGCAGUCGGGAAUCUUGCGCAAUGGGCGAAAGCCUGACGCAGCAACGCCGUGUGGGUGACGAAGGCCUUCGGGUCGUAAAGCCCUGUUGUUGGGGACGAAGGGUUAGGGGUUAAUAGCCCCGAGCCUGACGGUACCCUUCGAGGAAGCCCCGGCUAACUACGUGCCAGCAGCCGCGGUAAUACGUAGGGGGCGAGCGUUGUCCGGAAUCAUUGGGCGUAAAGAGCGUGUAGGCGGUUCGGUAAGUCCGCCGUGAAAACCCGGGGCUCAACCCCGGGCGUGCGGUGGAUACUGCCGGACUAGAGGGUGGUAGAGGCGAGUGGAAUUCCCGGUGUAGCGGUGAAAUGCGCAGAUAUCGGGAGGAACACCAGUAGCGAAGGCGGCUCGCUGGGCCAUUCCUGACGCUGAGACGCGAAAGCGUGGGGAGCAAACAGGAUUAGAUACCCCGGUAGUCC